AGACUUUGCCAAAAAAACACAGUUACUCUCAGACUUUUCCUUCAAAAAAUUUUGGAGACACAGGAAGAAAAAAAGCUUUCACCAAAAAAAAAAAAAACUCUCGACAAAUGUUUUCUUCUCUCUCAGAUCCUCCACACCAUGCCCUCGACUCCUUCUUCCGUCGUCGUAAUCUUCCGUCGUUAAGAUCCGGCCAGCUCCAGCCAUUUCCCAGCUUGAUGUCUGGACGCUGGUCCUUAUUGCAGACCUUGGCGUCAUCUUCGAUGGUUGGAUGCAGGUGGCUUUAAAAGGGGAUCUAGGGCUUUUUAUAGAUUUUGGUUAAAUUCUCGAACCUUACAAUAUAUAUGAUACUGCCACUGCUUCAUCUUCUCAGGUUUUUGGAAUUUGCCUUUGAUUUUUCUCUUAAACUAUGGCAACGGGAUGCGAAAUGGUUAUAUCUGAAACCAUGAGAGGUUAUCAUUGCCGUUCUCGGAGUUUAUCAGAUUCUGCAAGCAGCAUAUAAGAAGUAUAGAGAAUGAUUCAUGUGUUAAUGCUAUGGCAGAUUCCUAUAGUGAGGACCAUAUACCUGGACAAAUAUACCUAGCACAGGUUAUGAUGAUAUCUAGUUUUCGUCUUUGUGCUUUUGGUGUAUGUAGAGCCCGACAACAAGAGGUUGAAAAUGUGGAUAUUUUCCAGAGUUAACUAAAACGCAGCUCAAGCGGCGUUGACUAUUGCAAGAAGUGAUCUCCAAAGUCCAAGCAUUGUGGGAAAAUUUUGAAGUGACUUUGAGUUUGAAAGGUUUGAUAAAGUAUGAAACAGGUUAGACUGCUAAGAAGAUAUGAUGAUUUGCGGAAAUCAAUGGCAGUGAUCACUGAUCAUGCCAAGCUUCUCGUCAAGUUUUGAUUCUUUUGACUGUAACACAAUGUGUGGGAUUCUCGCUGUUCUUGGUUGCAUCGACAGCACUCAAGCUAAACGUUCUCGUAUCAUUGAACUCUCUCGCAGGUUGAGGCAUAGAGGUCCUGAUUGGAGUGGACUCCAUUGUCAUGAAGAUUGUUAUCUUGCUCAUGGGCGUUUAGCCAUCAUUGACCCAACUUAUGGAGAACAACCGCUCUAUAACGAAGACAAGACCAUCGUUGUCACGGUCAAUGGAGAGAUAUACAACCACAAGGUUUUGCAUGAAAAGCUCAAGUCUCAUCAAUUCCACACUGGUAGCGACUGUGAAGUGAUUGCACACCUUUACGAAGAACAUAAAGAAUACGUCUUUUUCAUACAUUGAAAGUGAACUAGUGGCUGUUCAUUAGAUUGUUUCGCAAAGUGAGCAGCUAAGAAAGGCUUGGAUGGGUUACAUGAGUUUGUCUCUGUUCUUUGUAAUGUUAGCUUUAUUUUGUUUAAGACUUGGUGGCACUUAUGUAAGACUUAUUUUGGUUAAUGUAAUAUUAAGGUUAUGUA